rnacentral:tRNA from 1 species
GUCUCGGUAGCGUAAGGGAAAGAGCGCGGUGCCCGGAAAGCAAGGUACGGGUUCGAGUCCCGUCCGAGGCU